CGCCUCACCGCGUGCACUGGUCCGGCCGGGCCUUUCCUCCUGGGGAGCCGCAUGCCCUUCACUGGGUGUGUCGGGGAACCAGGACCUUUACUUUGAAAAAAUUAGAGUGUUCAAAGCAGGCCUAUGCUCGAAUACAUUAGCAUGGAAUAAUAGAAUAGGACGUGUGGUUCUAUUUUGUUGGUUUCUAGGACCGCCGUAAUGAUUAAUAGGGAUAGUCGGGGGCAUCAGUAUUCAAUUGU
rnacentral:rRNA from 1 species